rnacentral:rRNA from 1 species
CAGCAGCCACGGGAAAACGGAGGGUGCAAGCGUUAAUCGGAAUUACUGGGCGUAAAGCGCACGCAGGCGGUUUGUUAAGUCAGAUGUGAAACCCCCGAGCUUAACCUGGGAACUGCAUUUGUGACUGGCAAGCUAGAGUCUGGCAGAGGGGGGUGGAAUUCCGCGUGUAGCAGUGAAAUGCGUAGAUAUGUGGAGGAACAUCAGUGGCGAAGGCGGCCAUCUGGGACAACACUGACGCUGAAGCACGAAAGCGUGGGGAGCAAACAGGAUUAGAACCCCUGUAGUCCCUGUCUCUUAUACA